rnacentral:rRNA from 1 species
AUUGAACGCUGGCGGCAGGCCUAACACAUGCAAGUCGAGCGGAGCGGCGGACGGGUGAGUAAUGCCUAGGAAUCUGCCUGGUAGUGGGGGAUAACGUCCGGAAACGGGCGCUAAUACCGCAUAAUAUCAGAUGAGACUAGGUAGGCUUAGCGAGUUGGUGGGGUAACGGCCUACCAAGGCGACGAUCCGUAACUGGUCUGAGAGGGGGAUCAGUCACACUGGAACGGAGACACGGUCCAGACUCCUACGGGAGGCAGCAGUGGGGAAUAUUGGACAAGGGGCGAAAGUCUGAUCCAGCAAUGCCGCGUGAGUGAAGAAGGUUGUCGGAUUGUAAAGCACUUUAAGUUGGGAGGCGUUACCAACAGAAUAAGCACCGGCUAACUUCGUGCCAGCAGCCGCGGUAAUAC